AUGCCUUGGUGAGGGCAUUUGCGCAACGAGUCCUUAAACCGCUCCCAUGCCUCAUAUACAAACUCUUCAUCAGGUUGCUGAAAUGAAGUAAUCUCACUGCGGAGCUU